AUAAGAACUGUAAGUUUAUUGAAGAAAAAUAUGGAAUUGGCAUAGAAAUGGGUAGAGCUGGAAAACAUUAAAUGAGGUAACCUAGAAAGUGUCUCAUUGAUGAGAUAAAGGUUUUAGCAGAGGUGGGCUAGGGAGCUAAUAGCCAUUAUGGCUUAUAAAGUUGGAGGAGGAAUGUUGAGAGCAAGAGAAUACAAAGAAGGGAGAGAAAAGAGUACGGGGGGGCAGAGACUCAGCAGAAAUGGAUAAAAGGAUAAUCAGUUCUCAGUCAUAUGGAACAGAUUUAAACCACAGCAAGUGUACAGCAAAGGCCUUCCUGUCUUCACCACAAAAAAUGCAGGUGCAUACUGCCACAUUCAGCUUGCAAUACAAAGUCCAAGAGACAAGUGAAAAACAAGAAAUUGCACUAUAAAAAAUGGAGACACCAUUUUGAAAGUGGCGUAAUAGACCCUGUUGAAAUACCUACAUCCAUGUGGAAAGGAUGGGCAGGCAUGAUGCAGUGAAGUAGAUAAGUAGACUUGUACCUCCCUGUCUUCAGAGAGAAGAGAGGAGAAACAGAAAAAAAUGACAGCCCAGGGUGAAAUAAAUGAAAUCUCUCAACAUUGUUGUUCCUUUCCAUUUCCUUCUACUGAAGUUAAGUGUGUAUUAACAGUUGUCCUUUGUGACAGCUGACUCUGUCCCUCGGUAGUUUCACUAAACAAGAACUCAUAACAGAUAUUCAUUUCAUUAGGAAUUUCAUCUGUACCCUCAUACCUAAUCAUGUACUUAAAGGAUUGUUUUCUGUAGUUAAUUAUUUCACCUAAUGCUACUGAACUAGGAUCACUUUCUUGUGAAUAUUAUUGGGUACAGAAUAAAAUUGCUAUAAGUGAAAAACCUUCCAUGAAUAACUGAAUUGUAACAUGAAGAAGAAAGCACCAGGGAGAUAAUAGCCAUUACUUCAGUUCUUUCUGGCCAGUGUGUGUACCUAACCUCAGAUCUCCAGUAACCUCAUAAAAAGUGAGGUAUAGUGACACCUGUGAUCUCCAACAAUAAAAUGGAGAACAGUCAAGGAAAGACACCCAAUAUCAACCUCUACCGCACAUCCCUACACUAGCAGGUACCUAUACUGCACACAACGCAAUAUAUACACACAAAAUUGAAUAAAAACUUGAAAAGAGUAUACUGACAUAGUAUUGAAUACAAAAGGAAUAGAACUUCUAGACAAGAGAAAUGUAAAUAAAAAUAAUGGAGAAAACAGUUUAAUCAAACUGAUAAAAGAAGGGACAAAUUAAAAAGAGACAGCUGUCACAGAACAAUAACAGUUUUUAGUGUCUUGUCUCCCAAUGAUAAACCUACACACUGUAGUAACAGAUAAAGAAGUGUGUAUGGGAAGGGAGGGAUGGGAGAGUGAGAAAGGAAGAGAGGGAGGAAAAGGAGAAACUUUGAAAAGAAAGAUUGAAACAGG
rnacentral:lncRNA from 1 species